rnacentral:rRNA from 1 species
CCUACGGGAGGCAGCAGUGGGGAAUCUUGCGCAAUGGGCGAAAGCCUGACGCAGCGACGCCGCGUGAGGGAUGAAGGUCUUCGGAUCGUAAACCUCUGUCAGCAGGGAAGAACGGUCACUGUGCUAAUCAGCAGUGAAUUGACGGUACCUGCAAAGGAAGCACCGGCUAACUCCGUGCCAGCAGCCACGGUAAUACGGAGGGUGCGAGCGUUAAUCGGAAUUACUGGGCGUAAAGCGCUCGUAGGCGGUAUGUCAAGUCAAGGGUGAAAUCCCCGCGCUUAACGUGGGAACUGCCUUUGAAACGGGCAGACUGGAGUGUGUGAGAGGAGAGUGGAAUUCCAGGUGUAGGAGUGAAAUCCGUAGAUAUCUGGAGGAACAUCAGUGGCGAAGGCGACUAUCUGGCACAUAACUGACGCUGAGGAGCGAAAGCGUGGGUAGCAAACAGGAUUAGAUACCCUAGUAGUC